rnacentral:rRNA from 1 species
CCUACGGGAGACUGCAGUAAGGGAUAUUGGUCAAUGGGGGAAACCCUGAACCAGCAACGCCGCGUGAGGGAAGACGGUUUUCGGAUUGUAAACCUCUGUCCUCUGUGAAGAUGAUGACGGUAGCAUAGGAGGAAGCUCCGGCUAACUACGUGCCAGCAGCCGCGGUAAUACGUAGGGAGCGAGCGUUGUCCGGAUUUACUGGGUGUAAAGGGUGCGUAGGCGGAAUGCCAAGUCAGCGGUAAAAUCGCGGGGCUCAACCUCGCUCCGCCGUUGAAACUGGCGUUCUUGAGUGGGCGAGAAGUAUGCGGAAUGCGUGGUGUAGCGGUGAAAUGCAUAGAUAUCACGCAGAACUCCGAUUGCGAAGGCAGCAUACCGGCGCCCAACUGACGCUGAAGCACGAAAGCGUGGGUAUCGAACAGGAUUAGAUACCCCUGUAGUC